AUACGGAGGGUGCAAGCGUUAUCCGGAAUCAUUGGGUUUAAAGGGUCCGUAGGCGGACUAUUAAGUCAGAGGUGAAAUCCCACAGCUCAACUGUGGAACUGCCUUUGAUACUGGUAGUCUUGAGUUAUAUGGAAGUAGAUAGAAUGCGUAGUGUAGCGGUGAAAUGCAUAGAUAUUACACAGAAUACCGAUUGCGAAGGCAGUCUACUACGUAUAUACUGACGCUAAGGGACGAAAGCGUGGGGAGCGAACAGGAUUAGAAACCCUAGUAGUCC
rnacentral:rRNA from 1 species